AUGGGGAAGGGAAGGCGGGGGGGUGUCUCUCCAAAGCUGCCUGUCCACACCCACGUGUCUCUCCACCCAAGCUCKUGUUUCGAGACAAGUCUCCCUCCCGAGAGCCAAACAGUGCUGGGGCUGCCCGGUGCGAGCUGCCAAACAUGUCCUGUUCACACCCCGAAAGAGCAGCGUUGCGGUGUGCRUGGGGGACUCCCGGGCUGCCUUUGCCUCUCUGCCCUGGGCAUCGCCAAACGCCUGCUGGGCCCCGCUUGCAAGCCCACGCUGCCCUUGCCACAGACUGCGCCCCCCAGCCGCCUCGUGCCUCCCCAGGCCCCAAAUCCCCCAUGUUUCGGUGCCGGAGGCCCCCCCCCCCCAGUGGGAUCCCCCUGUCCGCAGAGGCUGGGCUGGGCCUGGCUCCCCGGAGCUGGGUGGCAGCCCCCAACCCACGGAGGGGUCGGACCUGGCCCCUCAGCUUUAACACCACGGAGGCGGCGGCUUUGGGGCUGCAGCCAUCGCGGGAGCCAGCUCCCCCGAAUGAGGAGAGAACAGUGCCACUUCCUAGAAAAAUAUACUUUUAUUUACCAUCCGGUUUUUGCUCAGGAAAGAGCGGCUCGUUACAAGGGGGCCACUCGAGGCCUCGCUCGGAUGGCGGCCAGCAUGCGCCCACGCCGCUUGCCAGGGCCGCCCCUCCGUGCUGUGCUGUGCCGUGCCGGGGCACCGCAGAUCCCCUGGGAAAGGGGCAGCAGGGCAGGGUUUCCACAGGAGCCCCGGCGUGCUGAAACAGGGGGGGCAGCGGAGCCACGGGCUGUCCCACCGCCCUCCACCGCCAUGUCGGCGGAGGGAAGCCAAGCGAGCAUGGCCAAGGCGGGGGCGCAUGGCCUCCCUGCCAGCCCCUGGGCCGCCACCACGGCGCCGAGGGGAGCCCACGGGCCCAGUGACUCGCCAGAGCUUGACUUGGCCCCGGGGCUGCAGCACCCAGGUCCCCUCGGGCGCUUGCUGCUUCCAGAACCUUCCUUGGCACGAGGCCACCGGGGUGAGUUAAAUAAGGGGGGGAGGGAGCACAUUUUUCUGGGAUGA
rnacentral:lncRNA from 1 species